AGUGAACGCUGGCGGUAGGCCUAACACAUGCAAGUCGAACGGCAGCACAGUAAGAGCUUGCUCUUACGGGUGGCGAGUGGCGGACGGGUGAGGAAUACAUCGGAAUCUACUUUUUCGUGGGGGAUAACGUAGGGAAACUUACGCUAAUACCGCAUACGACCUACGGGUGAAAGCAGGGGAUCUUCGGACCUUGCGCGAUUGACUGAGCCGAUGUCGGAUUAGCUAGUUGGCGGGGUAAAGGCCCACCAAGGCGACGAUCCGUAGCUGGUCUGAGAGGAUGAUCAGCCACACUGGAACUGAGACACGGUCCAGACUCCUACGGGAGGCAGCAGUGGGGAAUAUUGGACAAUGGGCGCAAGCCUGAUCCAGCCAUACCGCGUGGGUGAAGAAGGCCUUCGGGUUGUAAAGCCCUUUUGUUGGGAAAGAAAAGCAGCGGGUUAAUACCCCGCUGUUCUGACGGUACCCAAAGAAUAAGCACCGGCUAACUUCGUG
rnacentral:rRNA from 1 species